AGGGGAUGGCAAAUAACGGGAAUCUAUCGUCUCAUUUCUCUGCAAUUCUUGGUGUUCCGGAACAGGUGUCACUAUUUUUCCAGCCUUUGGUUGCGUUAGAGGGUAUUGACUUUCGUUCCGCGUUCUUGUUUUUCUUUGUGUUGUUGAUAUUACUACCAAUAGUUGCCAACAUGAAGAGGUCGAGGACAAGCGAAAUGUGGUCAUAUUUCGAAACUCUUGAUCGAGAGUUUGCAAAAUGUACUUUGUGCGGUAAGAAAUUAUCGUACAAAUCGACGACGACGAAUUUAAAAAAAACAUCUUCAGAAAUCACAUUUAAUUGUGAAUUUCUCUUCACAAAGACCUUCGGAGCUAGAUUUGGGUGAAACCCUUCAUGUAGAUGUGAUCCUUGGCACCAGUAGUGUGGAAGAGGAGCGAGAGGCACACCAACACCAGCAGAUGAGUCUCCGUUUAAUACUUGGGAUAUUAUAACAGUAAGUUAUAGCUCCAGAAGUCAGUCACCAGCAGCAGAUGUCACACAGUUAUAAAAUGGGAAACUUGAAGAAUAAGCUCCAGAAGUCAGCAGCAGCAGCAGACGUCACACAGCCAUAAUGCGAGAAGCUUGAAGAAUAAUGUGUUAUGGCUCCGAUAGUCUUCCAGCAGCAGCAAAUGUUACACAGUCCUAUAGAGGCAAACUUGAAGUAUAAAGUAAUAGUGUUUUGCAUACAAUGGCAAACUUGACCUUUCGCUUAAAAUGGAGUAUCGGCUUUGAAAUUUGGUCACUGGAUACAACUAUAUUAUCUUUCAUGUUGAUAGCAGCAAUCAUCAGAUUGCAAUCCAGUUAAGUACCUGUGAGGCAUGAGAUGUCAAAAAUACUUGUGGGUUAUUGGUAGCCUGUGUCAAGGCAUGUGGCACCUCAAAGUUUGUAAGUACAGUAGCAUUUUGUUUUCUGCUUUACUUAAAAAUUGGUAGCUGUAGCACCCAUUCUGACAUUCAAUUAUUUUGAAUUUCAAGUUUCUUAGAAUGAUACUGACAUCAGUUUGUUAACACUAAUCCGUAUAUUAUUGUUAAUAUAUGCUGCUAUUUUCCUCAGAUGUUAACUGAAAUUGUUUUAUUGUUAUGAUAACAACACUUCAGCCUUUGCAAACUUGCAGUAUAGGUUACCUGCUGAGAAAUAUUUACUGGAAGAAAUGGUUUCUUGAAUAGGACCGAAAGGAAAACCACUGAAAAUGCCAAACGUGAAUUGGUGAAACAUCUUGUGCUCAAUACUAAAUUUCAUUUGCAAAACACGGAAGUUUUCCUAUCUUUGUGGUGGAACACAACAAAUUCUCAUAAUUUUGCUAGUUUGUAUUCUAGAAAGGGUGCCAGAAAUGGAAGAGUAUAAUUUUUAUUAAAUCGGGCGUUAAAUGUAAGUAGGUU